UCCAGCCAGAGCUGCAGACUACAAUGACUUAUCUACAUUAAAGUGCAGUUUUACAAGCUGAACCAACAUGUCUGGAGACAGAUUCAUAAUUUCAGCCAUGGAGGGAUUUCAUUUCUCAGACUGACGUUUAUCAUAAUGAGGGGUCUCCAAUGGCCACUUUUAAAGUGAACAAUAUCCAUGAUUUGGGAACCAGAACCCUUGAGUGAAGACCAAGAUGGGACUUCUAAAGUCAGCAUAGGUUUGAAAUGAAGUAAAUUGGACAUGAUCAAAGGAGUGGAAACUUUGGGUGACAACUCAAAAUAUUUCUAAAGGGUCAGUCAGCUUGCGAAAACUGAGAAGUCCAAGGACAUCUGACCACCACCACCCUUUUGUUAACUUUGAAACGCACUGUCGCUAAAAUAAAUUUAUAAUAAAAAAAAAAAAAUAAUAAUAAUUUUCAGGCAUUUGUACUGUAUUUCAAAUCUCCAUCAAGCUGAGUUGAGUAAUCUUUAAACAAUGUACAUUAUUAUGAUUAUUGUCAAGUGAAGUAUUUAAAUGUAAUUACAUUAGGUUAAAUUUAUGAUAUGUACAUUUUGGUAAACAUUACUCAGUUCAGUUGGAUGGAAAUUUGUCAUAAAAUGUAACUUUUGCUGAAUGUUGAGUGUAAUUUUUGCUUUUGUAAUAACUGUAAAUAACAGAUAAUAAAGAUUCAUCCUCAGUGUGUAAUAAAUAAAUAUA